GGGGUCUGAAUGGCUUCCCUGCGCGACGUCACGCCGCAGACGUCAAGGCUCAGGCCGCGCAGUCUCCUGGCCCGGCGGCCUGGCUGGAAACCGGCCACCAAGCUGUCCUUGAUUUUGUUGAGAGAACAGAAAAUGAAGAAACAUUACCCCAAUUCAAUUGUGAAGUUACAAAUACCUUGCUAACAAAAUUAGAUUAAAAUAAGCAUACAACAUAGUAGAAGAUUUGUGGGGAAGGUCUCUAAAGCUCUCACCUACCUGUGAUUAUUGAAGAAGGUCAUGAUUCUAGAUGGGCACCCUGGCUUGGGUCAGAUCAGAGGACAACAUCGCUUUUAAAUCGGUUCUUUCGACUGGAAAAGUAACAACAAAACUGAAUGGAUAAAUUGAGUCCUGAAUGGAUGUGUAUCUGUCAUGUGGAUACUCUAAAGGAAAAACCUUCACUUUUUGAUGAUAGAAAAUCAGGAGGUCACCCAGACAGAGAAGGAUAAUUUCUCCUCACUGAAGGACAUUUCCCAAUAUUUAGACAUAAAGCACUCAGAGGUCAAGGGGAUAUUCUCAGGAUGGUAUGUUCAUCAGAUCCUCCGGGAAUAUCUUCAGAAAACCAUUUGGAAUUGCCAUGGAUUAUCAUCACAUAGGACCAUCCAGGUAUAGCAAGAAAAGAAAAUUACUUCUUCGUCUCAACUUUGUUGUAAGAAUCAGAAAAGACAGAAAAACUGAGGAGCGGUCAUCGACUGGAAAAAGACUAAUGAGGUGCAGCUACUAAAUGCAACGUGGGAUCCUUACUUGGAUACUGGAACAGAAAUUAUAUGAUUUAUUUUCAAAGUUAAGGAUUUUAUAAUGCAUGCCAUUUUGUGUCUUUGAUAUAGAAAAUACAUACUUUAGCUUUAGUCUUUAUUUGCAAUGCUGCAAUUGUAUCAUAUAUAUUUCUUAUUUUUUAAUGUGUUAUUUACUUUUGAGAGAGACAGAGAGAUAGAGUGUGAGUGGCGGAGGGGCAGAGAGAGAGGGAGACACAGAAUCAGUGGCAGGCCCCAGGCUCUGAGGUGUCAGCACAGAGCCUGACACGGGGCUUGAACUCACAAGCUGAAGUCAGAUGCUUAACCGACUGAGCCACUUAGGAUCCCCUCAUAUUUUACAUCAUCUCUGUAUCUAGCUGUUCAAACUCAUCCUAUUUUAUAUUCAUUAUUUUUCUAAUGUUUUUUUCAAGUCUUUAUAGUGUGAUACUAGACACAAUAAGUUCUUUCAGGUUGAAGAUAGAUAAAUAAAUAGUCUUGAAUAUUAAAAAAGAAGACCUGGAAACACAAUGUAAACAUCAUUACUUCAUAUCAUGAUAAUUACUUUUAUUUUCUUUUGUUUAUCAGACAUCCUCUCAGAUCUGAUUUAAAACAAGUUUUAAUCUCUAUUAUCAUGGUGUCAAAUUUGAUGUUUAGGUCUUCUGCGCACUGACUUAUAUUUUGUUCUUGUAUUAAAAGUGGUAUGUUAAAUAUCUUUUAUUAUUAGCAUUUAUGUCUAUUUCUCUUUCCAUCUUUUGCUUUUUAAAGGUGAAUACUGUGUUAUUUGGAGCAUAAAUAUUCAUAAAAGCUAUGUUGAUGUUGUAAAAUGUGGGUUUUAGACUUAAAAUAUGUCUUUUAUUCUCAUGGCUUAAUGCUUUUUUAUUUGAAUUCUACUUUAUUUUAUAUCAGAACUGCAAGCUCUGUUUUUAUUUUGUUUUAUUGUUUUACUCCUGUCCCCACCUUUGUUUUAGUUUUAGAUCUACAACUAUCUACAUGAAAUGCUCGCCAUUCUUAGAAAAUUUCAUACAAGGUGUGAGCUUCGAGGCUGAUUUUCCUGCCUAUGAAUAUCCAAUUGGUCCAGCACCAUUUGUUGAAAACACUAUUCUUCUGCCAUUGAGUUACAUUUAAAGCUUUGUCAAAAACGACUUAGCUGUAUUUAUUUGGGUUAUUUCCUAACCCUCUAUUCUGUUCCAUCUAUGGAUCUAUCCCUCUGUCAAUAGCACCCAGACUUAUUAGUGUAGCUGUAAAAUUUGUGAA